CCCAGUAAACGGCGGCCGUAACUAUAACGGUCCUAAGGUAGCGAAAUUCCUUGUCGGGUAAGUUCCGACCCGCACGAAAGGUGUAACGAUUUGGGCACUGUCUCAACGAGGGACCCGGUGAAAUUGAAGUACCUGUGAAGAUGCAGGUUACCCGCGACUGGACAGAAAGACCCCAUGGAGCUUUACUGCAACCUAAGAUUGAACUUAGUUAAUGAAUGUACAGGAUAGGUGGGAGACUUAGAACCUAGGACGCCAGUUUUAGGGGAGUCGCUGUUGGGAUACCACCCUUUCAUUAAUUGAUUUCUAACGGGCCGAGUAACGACCGGCCGGACAGUCUUAGGCGGGCAGUUUGACUGGGGCGGUCGCCUCCUAAAGAGUAACGGAGGCGCCCAAAGGUUCCCUCAGAGCGGACGGAAAUCGCUCGAAGAGUGUAAAGGCAGAAGGGAGCUUGACUGCGAGACGGACAGGUCGAGCAGGGACGAAAGUCGGGCUUAGUGAUCCGGUGGUGCCGAGUGGAAGGGCCAUCGCUCAACGGAUAAAAGCUACCCUGGGGAUAACAGGCUAAUCUCUCCCAAGAGUCCAUAUCGACGGGGAGGUUUGGCACCUCGAUGUCGGCUCAUCACAUCCUGGGGCUGAAGUAGGUCCCAAGGGUUCGGCUGUUCGCCGAUUAAAGUGGUACGUGAGCUGGGUUCAGAACGUCGUGAGACAGUUCGGUCCCUAUCCAUCGCGGGCGCAAGAAACUUGAAGGGGGCUGCUCCUAGUACGAGAGGACCGGAGUGGACGAACCGCUGGUGUACCAAUUAUCCUGCCAAGGGUACAGUUGGGUAGCUACGUUCGGGACGGAUAAACGCUGAAAGCAUCUAAGCGUGAAACCAGCCUUGAGAUGAGGUUUCUCAUAGCAUAAGCUAGUAAGAUCCCAUGUAGACGACAUGGUAGAUAGGCCAGGUGUGGAAGAGCCGUGAGGUUUGGAGCUGACUGGUACUAAUCGAUCGAGGGCUUUACUUA
rnacentral:rRNA from 1 species